GACGAACGCUGGCGGCGUGCUUAACACAUGCAAGUCGAACGGAAAGGCCCUGCUUUUGUGGGGUGCUCGAGUGGCGAACGGGUGAGUAACACGUGAGUAACCUGCCCUUGACUUUGGGAUAACUUCAGGAAACUGGGGCUAAUACCGGAUAGGAGCUCCUGCUGCAUGGUGGGGGUUGGAAAGUUUCGGCGGUUGGGGAUGGACUCGCGGCUUAUCAGCUUGUUGGUGGGGUAGUGGCUUACCAAGGCUUUGACGGGUAGCCGGCCUGAGAGGGUGACCGGCCACAUUGGGACUGAGAUACGGCCCAGACUCCUACGGGAGGCAGCAGUGGGGAAUAUUGCACAAUGGGCGGAAGCCUGAUGCAGCAACGCCGCGUGCGGGAUGACGGCCUUCGGGUUGUAAACCGCUUUCGCCUGUGACGAAGCGUGAGUGACGGUAAUGGGUAAAGAAGCACCGGCUAACUACGUGCCAGCAGCCGCGGUGAUACGUAGGGUGCGAGCGUUGUCCGGAUUUAUUGGGCGUAAAGGGCUCGUAGGUGGUUGAUCGCGUCGGAAGUGUAAUCUUGGGGCUUAACCCUGAGCGUGCUUUCGAUACGGGUUGACUUGAGGAAGGUAGGGGAGAAUGGAAUUCCUGGUGGAGCGGUGGAAUGCGCAGAUAUCAGGAGGAACACCAGUGGCGAAGGCGGUUCUCUGGGCCUUUCCUGACGCUGAGGAGCGAAAGCGUGGGGAGCGAACAGGCUUAGAUACCCUGGUAGUCCACGCUGUAAACGGUGGGUACUAGGUGUGGGGUCCAUUCCACGGGUUCCGUGCCGUAGCUAACGCUUUAAGUACCCCGCCUGGGGAGUACGGCCGCAAGGCUAAAACUCAAAGGAAUUGACGGGGCCCCGCACAAGCGGCGGAGCAUGCGGAUUAAUUCGAUGCAACGCGUAGAACCUUACCUGGGUUUGACAUGGAUCGGGAGCGCUCAGAGAUGGGUGUGCCUCUUUUGGGGUCGGUUCACAGGUGGUGCAUGGCUGUCGUCAGCUCGUGCCGUGAGAUGUUGGGUUAAGUCCCGCAACGAGCGCAACCCUUGUUCACUGUUGCCAGCACGUUAUGGUGGGGACUCAGUGGAGACCGCCGGGGUCAACUCGGAGGAAGGUGGGGAUGACGUCAAGUCAUCAUGCCCCUUAUGUCCAGGGCUUCACGCAUGCUACAAUGGCUGGUACAGAGAGUGGCGAGCCUGUGAGGGUGAGCGAAUCUCGGAAAGCCGGUCUCAGUUCGGAUUGGGGUCUGCAACUCGACCUCAUGAAGUCGGAGUCGCUAGUAAUCGCAGAUCAGCAACGCUGCGAUGAAUACGUUCCCGGGGCU
rnacentral:rRNA from 1 species